rnacentral:siRNA from 1 species
UAUGGAGGCUUGCAGAUACUGCU